UAGAGCGACGGGCGAUGUGUACAUAUUUUAGAGCUAAUUUCAAUUCUCUAAUCUAUAAGAAUUUACUUUCAAAUCCACCUUCAUUUUUAAAUUUCAAUAAAAAAUCCAUAUAAAUAAAUUUAUUGUAACCCAUUAACACUUAAGCAUAAGCUACACCUUGAUCUGAUAUAAAUUAUAAUAAUAAUUAUUAAAAACUAUUUUUCUAAAAAAGUUUUUUAUAACGACGGUAUAUAAACUAAACAAACUUAAGUAAGGUCCAACGUGGAAUAUCGAUUAUGCAACAGGUUCCUCUGAUUAGACUAAAAUACCGCCAAAUUUUUUAAGUUUCAAGAACAUAACUAAUACUACUCUAGUAAAUAAAUUACAUUUUGAAUAAUANGGUAUCUAAUCCUAGU
rnacentral:rRNA from 1 species